rnacentral:rRNA from 1 species
GAUGAACGCUGGCGGCGUGCCUAAUACAUGCAAGUCGAGCGAACGGACGAGAAGCUUGCUUCUCUGAUGUUAGCGGCGGACGGGUGAGUAACACGUGGAUAACCUACCUAUAAGACUGGGAUAACUUCGGGAAACCGGAGCUAAUACCGGAUAAUAUUUUGAACCGCAUGGUUCAAAAGUGAAAGACGGUCUUGCUGUCACUUAUAGAUGGAUCCGCGCUGCAUUAGCUAGUUGGUAAGGUAACGGCUUACCAAGGCAACGAUGCAUAGCCGACCUGAGAGGGUGAUCGGCCACACUGGAACUGGAACACGGUCCAGGCUCCUGCGGGAGGGAGCAGUAGGGAAUCUUCCGCAAUAGGCGAAAACCUGACGGAGCAACGCCGCGUGAGUGAUGAAGGUCUUCGGAUCGUAAAACUCUGUUAUUAGGGAAGAACAUAUGUGUAAGUAACUGUGCACAUCUUGACGGUACCUAAUCAGAAAGCCACGGCUAACUACGUG